UGGGCAACUAGACCCAAUUUGGAUAGAAUUGGAAUCUCUUGGUAUUGGGUUCCAGAUAGGAACAAGUAUUAUUUCUGAGCUAGACCUUAGACCAGGACCCAGGAUUCCUAAGGGUGAGAUAUGCAGUGCUUUGUGACCUGACCUUAGGGAAGGUAAGAGAGCCAGAUGGAAGGGUAACACUCAUUUGGCUCCAAUUCUGCAGAUGACCUCAGCACCUCCCCUCCUGUGCCAGACUGAGGGAGGCCCUUGGGUUCUCGUGGGCAUGGCUGUUCGAGGUAGCCGGGAGCUGUUUGCAGCCAUUGGCCCUGAAGCAACCUGGAUAUCGCAAACAGUGGGAGAAGCCCAUUUUCUUCAUCUCGGUGGCUCCUCCUACUGGUCUCCUGAAGGCAGUGACCCGUGUCCCCAAGACUUGGCAGGAUCUGCAAGCUCCCCUAAGGUUGCUGCUCUGCCCCUCCUACUGGCUCUACUGAUCCCUCGCUGAGAGCCUGGCUUCUCUUCAUACCACCCAUCAGGGUUGGAAUGUGGCCCAACCAGCCAGCUCCCAGGCCUGGAUAGGGCCUCUUCCACCCAUACUGCAUUAGCUUACAGAUAAUUGGACCUCAGUGCUGGCUACUUUGAAUCUAAGAAUCCUUGGGGGUGGAGGAGGAACAGACAAUAAAGAUGUAAAUACAG
rnacentral:lncRNA from 1 species